rnacentral:rRNA from 1 species
GCGCAGCAGGCGCGAAAACUUCACACUGUGCGAAAGCACGAUGAGGGAAUCCCAAGUGCUUGCACGUAAGUGUAAGCUGUUUCUCUGUCUAAAACGCAGAGAGAGUAAGGGCUGGGUAAGACGGGUGCCAGCCGCCGCGGUAAUACCUGCAGCUCAAGUGGUGACCGUUAUUAUUGGGCCUAAAAACGUCCGUAGCCGGUUUAAUAAAUGCCUGGGUAAAUUGUGUAGCUUAACUAUACGAAUUCCGGGUGACUGUUAAACUUGAGACCGGGAGAAGUUAGAGGUACUCCUGGGGUAGAGGUGAAAUUCUGUAAUCCUAGGGGGACCACCAGUGGCGAAGGCGUCUAACUAGAACGGGUCUGACGGUGAGGGACGAAGCCCUGGGGCGCAAACGGGGAUUAGAUACCCCUGUAGU